rnacentral:tRNA from 1 species
CGGGAUGUUGCACAGCUUGGUAGUGCACCUGGUUUGGGACCAGGGGGUCGCAGGUUCGAAUCCUGUCAUCCCGACCA